GCAGCCGCGGUAAUACGUAGGUGGCAAGCGUUAUCCGGAAUUAUUGGGCGUAAAGCGCGCGCAGGCGGUCUCUUAAGUCUGAUGUGAAAGCCCACGGCUCAACCGUGGAGGGUCAUUGGAAACUGGGAGACUUGAGUGCAGGAGAGAAAAGUGGAAUUCCACGUGUAGCGGUGAAAUGCGUAGAGAUGUGGAGGAACACCAGUGGCGAAGGCGGCUUUUUGGCCUGUAACUGACGCUGAGGCGCGAAAGCGUGGGGAGCAAACAGGAUUAGAUACCCUGGUAGUCCACGCCGUAAACGAUGAGUGCUAGGUGUUGGGGGGUUCCACCCUCAGUGCUGAAGCUAACACAUUAAGCACUUCCGCCUGGGGAGUACGACCGC
rnacentral:rRNA from 1 species